rnacentral:lncRNA from 10 species
CUUCAAGAUGGCUGACUAGAGGUACUCGCCUACUCCACAAAGAAGAACUAAAAUAAUGAAGAGAUGAUGUCUGAUAUAACUGGGGGCCAGAAGCAGAUUCCAAUCCUGCAGUCAAUGUCCUCUAAGAUGAGAGAUAUCUGAAAUUGUGAUAGUGAAUUAGCCAAGGUAAGACAGAGGUCCUGGAUGCAGAAAGGCUGUGAAACUUGCCCAUUGUGUUUAGGAAGACAAGGCCAAAAUGUAACCUGGACCACAAGAUUGUAUGUGAUGUCACCAUCCUGAAGACCUAUAACUCAGAGAUAUCCAUAUAUCUAUAUCUCCAGCUACAAUCCUCACACUAUCUCUCUGCCUCAAAGAUACGAUGGAUUGUGUCAGACCACUGCAAUAAAGACUGCCUCAUCCUUCUUUCAUUGGCUAACACAUGGACUUUGUCAAGUUCAACUGCCGAUGUCAUCCCAUUGGCCAGAAAGUAUUCAUGGAAGGAGAGAAAAUUCUCUCCUCUGGAACAUGUUUUGCUCCCUUCUCCUGGAUUUUGCUCCAGCCUGGACUUCAUUCCAAAAGUCUUUAUUUGAUCACGGCAUGCCCCCAGGAAUGUACAUUUAGCAUAGUCUCUAAAUCUGAUUUUUUCAAAGGGAG